rnacentral:rRNA from 1 species
UACGUAGGGUCCGAGCGUUGUCCGGAAUUACUGGGCGUAAAGAGCUCGUAGGUGGUUUGUCGCGUUGUUCGUGAAAACUCACAGCUUAACUGUGGGCGUGCGGGCGAUACGGGCAGACUUGAGUACUGCAGGGGGAGACUGGAAUUCCUGGUGUAGCGGUGGAAUGCGCAGAUAUCAGGAGGAACACCGGUGGCGAAGGCGGGUCUCUGGGCCGAUACUGACGCUGAGGCGCGAAAGCGUGGGGGAGCAAACAGG